rnacentral:rRNA from 1 species
GGCAGCAGUCGAGGAUAGUCUACAAUGGUCGAAAGAUUGAUAGUGCGACGCCGCGUGAACGAGGAAGCAUUUCGGUGUGUAAAGUUCUUUUCCAUGGGAGCAGUGGAUUUAAUGUGAACAAUGUCAAAUCAGAGAUAUUACCAUGGGAAUAAGCCACGGCUAACUCCGUGCCAGCAGCCGCGGUAAUACGGGGGUGGCGAGCGUUGUCCGGAAUUACUAGGCGUAAAGGGCAGGUAGGCGGUCAUAUAAGUUAAUCGUUAAAUUUCCAUGCUCACCAUGGGUAAGGCGUUUGAUACUGUAUGACUGGAAUCGAGUGGGGGAAGACGGAAUUCCUGGUGUAGCGGUGGAAUACGCAGAGAUCAGGAGGAACACCUAAGGCGAAGGCAGUCUUCUACGCUUUGAUUGACGCUAAACUGCGAAGGUGCGGGUAUCAAACAGGAUUAGAUACCCCAGUAGUCC